CAGCAACUUAGCGACCCCUAAGCGGAAUGGGACUUCCCCCAACCCCCUGGGCGACGUAGGGACCGACGAGCGGGAAGGCCUGGAGGCGGGGAUCACCCCGCAGACAUUAACGGGCCUCAGGUCAAAUUCAUUCAGGUUCGGGACCAUGCAUCCGCGAGCUGACCCCACUGCAGGAGGGCCAGAGGCGCUGAUGCAGAUGCCC